rnacentral:rRNA from 1 species
UACGAAGGGGGCUAGCGUUGCUCGGAAUCACUGGGCGUAAAGCGCACGUAGGCGGCUUCUUAAGUCAGGGGUGAAAUCCUGGAGCUCAACUCCAGAACUGCCUUUGAUACUGGGAGACUUGAGUCCGGGAGAGGUGAGUGGAACUGCGAGUGUAGAGGUGAAAUUCGUAGAUAUUCGCAAGAACACCAGUGGCGAAGGCGGCUCACUGGCCCGGUACUGACGCUGAGGUGCGAAAGCGUGGGGAGCAAACAGG